rnacentral:sRNA from 1 species
GUGCCAAUGUGCAUGAGGCCUGCACCUUUGAUGACACCUCUGAGGGUGCUGUGCACUAUUUCUACGAUGAGAGCGGGACCGACACUCGCAUUCCUCCAGCUUCCACUCGGCUGAUGUUCCUGAGGCUACAGGCGGCCUGAACCUGCUGCAGCCGAGGCCUGUGGUUCUGCAGGGCAUGCAGGUGCGCCGGGUGCCCCUGGAGAUCCCGGAGGAGCAGACACUGAUGGAAGAAGCGCCACCCCGGGCCCAGCAUAGUUACAAGUACU